GCGCCCAUAGCUCAACGGAUAGAGUACAGGCUUGCGGAGCCUGGAAUCGAGGUUCGAUUCCUCGUGGGCGCG
rnacentral:tRNA from 1 species